rnacentral:tRNA from 1 species
GCGAGAGUGGUGGAAUGGCAGACACGCUAGUCUUAGGAACUAGUGCCGCGAGGCUUGGGGGUUCAAGUCCCCCCUCUCGCA